rnacentral:rRNA from 1 species
UACGUAGGGUGCGAGCGUUGUCCGGAAUUAUUGGGCGUAAAGGGCUCGUAGGCGGUUUGUCGCGUCGGGAGUGAAAACGCCGUGCUUAACACGGCGCUUGCUUUCGAUACGGGCAGACUAGAGGUAUGCAGGGGAGAACGGAAUUCCUGGUGUAGCGGUGAAAUGCGCAGAUAUCAGGAGGAACACCCGUGGCGAAGGCGGUUCUCUGGGACGGUACUGACGCUGAGACGCGAAAGCGUGGGGAGCGAACAGG